rnacentral:rRNA from 1 species
CCUACGGGAGGCAGCAGUGGGGAAUAUUGCGCAAUGGGCGAAAGCCUGACGCAGCGACGCCGCGUGAGGGAUGAAGGUCUUCGGAUCGUAAACCUCUGUCAGCAGGGAAGAACGGUCACUGUGCUAAUCAGCAGUGAAUUGACGGUACCUGCAAAGGAAGCACCGGCUAACUCCGUGCCAGCAGCCGCGGUAACACGGAGGGUGCGAGCGUUAAUCGGAAUUACUGGGCGUAAAGCGCUCGUAGGCGGUAUGUCAAGUCAAGGGUGAAAUCCCCGCGCUCAACGUGGGAACUGCCUUUGAAACUGGCAAACUGGAGUGUGUGAGAGGAUAGUGGAAUUCCAGGUGUAGGAGUGAAAGCCGUAGAUAUCUGGAGGAACAUCAGUGGCGAAGGCGACUAUCUGGCACAUAACUGACGCUGAGGAGCGAAAGCGUGGGUAGCAAACAGGAUUAGAUACCCCAGUAGUC